rnacentral:rRNA from 1 species
AAGGUAGCGUAAUCACUUGUCUUAUAAAUAAAGACCCGUAUGAAUGGUUAAAUGAAUAUUUAACUGUCUCCUUUAACUAAUCAGUGAAACUGAUCUUUCAGUACAAAAGCUGAAAUAUCAACAUAAGACGAGAAGACCCCGUGGAGCUUAAAAUUUUUAACAAAAUAUUAUAAAGCACAUAUUUUGCCAUAAAAUUUUUAGUUGGGGCGACUUUGGAGAAAAACUUAACCUCCAAGAUAAAGGCAUUGCCUACACCAAGGCCCACAAGCCAGACUACAGAGACCCAGUAUCAAAUACUGAUCAACGAACCAAGUUACCCCAGGGAUAACAGCGCCAUCUUCUUCAAGAGUUCAUAYCGACAAGAAGGUUUACGACCUCGAUGUUGGAUCAGGACACCCAAAUGGUNCAGCCGCUAU